UGCAACGACAAUACUAGUACUAGUGCAUUCCAAACCAACCGCGACACCCUCCCCUCCUCUCUCGCCAACAAGACGGAUCAAUACGGCUUCUACACUUUCUCAACCGGCGAAAAUCCCGACACGGUUUACGCACUCAUGCUGUGUAGAGCCGACUCUAAGUUAGAUGUCUGUCGCGAGUGCAUUAACAACUCCACCACUUAGCUCAAGGAACUUUGUCCCGACGGAAAGGAAGCGAUCGGAUGGUACGACGAUUGCAUGUUGCGAUACUCGAACAAGUCGAUGGAGGGGGUUAUGGAAGAGAAACCGAGCUACCCUGUGUGGAACGUUAAACAAAACGUUACGAGUAUGGAGCAAUUCAAGGACGUGUUGGAGAACUUGCUGGAAAGUCUCAAGGACAAGGCCGCGGCGGGCGGGUCCCGUAUCAAGUUUGCAGCGGGAAACGUGACGGGACUGGACUCUCAAACUGUAUAUGCACUCGUGCAGUGCACGCCGGAUAUAUCCAAAAAAGGGUUGCAGCGAUUGCAUUCAGGGGGCUAUUGAUGAUGAUAUCCCGGAUGUCACGUCCUGCUGUGUUGGGCCGGUGGGCGGAAGAAUUAUUAGACCGAGUUGUCAUUUUCGAUUUGAGCUUGGAUCUUUCGUUGGUGAAAUUCCAGUGAGUACUAGCAGCGGGUGUCGCGGUUUGAAUGGCAGGGCUGUAAGCAUGGCCGCAGUUUUGUUGAAUUUCAUUGGGUUGGCUUUGCUACUGAAUCUACUGAUUUGAAAGUGAUGAUCAGAUACACGACUCAGAGACAGAUGAUAGCCUUCUGAUCAGUGAAAAUUUCUGGUUGAUUUUUUUAUUUUUAUUUGGUAAUGCAAGGUGUCCCGGGCUAACUUGCGUGCACCUCGGACUAAUCCCUACAGUCCCUCUCACACCCGUUGUGGUUGUGUUUUUUUUUUUUACUAAUAAUAAAGUUAUCCAAUUGGUCUGUUUAAUUGUUGCAUGAUUGUACUUUUGGUGGUCUAGAAUAAUUAAUCCGGGCCUCUGUUUAGUAACGUUACUAUAUUUUAGGUAUUUUGUUUGUUGGUUUACGAAAUACUAUUCUCGUUUACAUAGCUAGUGUGUGAAGUCCACAAAAAUGCGUGAUGGAUAAAGAGUUCAGAGCACCGCGACAUUAUACCCUAUGGGCAUGGAAAAAUUACUCUUAGCAACCCGAGUAUAUGGUAGGGCCUAAGAUUUGCCGCAUACGUGCUGCAAUUCAUAGCGAAUGUCUGCAAUGCACUCUAACAGAUACAUGAAACUAAGUUACAUAAUGCGUGUGCAGGUGCGGAAGAGCAAGCGCGAGCGUUAAAAUGUCUUUCAAAAGCCUCCCAAACAAUAGAAUUCGCGAGUGCAAGAAGUGAGAUUGCAAGCGCUGACCGAUGAUUUAGUGCGGGAGCAAAUACCAUUUUGAAAAAUUAUGUGACUAAUUACCCUCUCUCUACAUGUUGAAUUUAUGUUGAAAAAAGGCCCAGCGCAGCUUGUUGGAUCCAAGCCCGACCCUAGUUUGCAGUUGUCUGGACCAACAAGCUUGGGCCGGGCAAAUUCAGCGAAGCCCGAUCGACCUUAAUAGAGUUCACCGAGUUAAAAGUCAGCCGGGCUUGGCUGGGUCUGUUAGUCGACCGAGUUAAUUGUACCGUGCAGGGUGCAGGUAUUUGCUUCAUCCUAAGAUCUCAUGUUCAAUUCUUCUUGCCAACAACUCUUAGAGCCACUGAACUGUGAUAGGGACUGUAGGGAUCAACCCGAGAUGCAGGUGCACACAAGCUGACCGAGAGUGCCUCAUUGUUCGCUCCUGGUAGUUUAGCUCCUUGUAUUGUUGCGUAGGUCAGUCGGUUGACGGAAAGGGUGUGCUGUUCCUUGAACUCUUCUUGUUUGUUUGGUUUGGUCUUCAUAUGAAAGUACUUUCACCUACAAAAACAUCUGUUGAGCAUUCUUUUUAGGGAAUUCUUAUAGAUCGGAAAGGAUAAAAAUAUAAACACAAGGAAAAAGAGGGAUGUAGCGCGAAAAUUGAUAUUCAUCACUUAUUUCAUUUCUUACAGGUGAGACAACCGAAGAAAAACAUAGCUAUUCUUUAAUUGGAGAAUAACUACUACUAUACAAAACUGAAGAAAAGAGCAGGACAGGAAGAAAGAAAGGAUACCGCGAAAAAAAAAAAAAAAAAAAAAAGGUCAGUAAGUUACAUUAGCUAGUAUUAUACAAGAAGAUGAGACGAACUGAGAUGAUUCCUUAAGAUGCAGCAGCAAUAGGAGGGGGUUGAGGAGGGACUCCAUGAAAGAAACUUGGUGGUGAUAGAUUGAUACUGCUGCUAUUUUCAAUCUGGUCGAAACUAUUGUUUUCUUCUUCCUCUUCUUCUUCUUCCUCCUCGGUGUCCCAAAGAAACCGCGCAUAUGAAGCCAUAACAUAAC